rnacentral:lncRNA from 1 species
AAGGAUCUCCAGUCUCAGUUGGAUUAUGCAAUUACCGAUCGGGAGAAGCUGUUCAUAAAGCUCACAGCAGCCAAAUCGGAGGUUGAAGUGACUAAGGAAAAUACUGAUGUAGGGGUGGUUGUUUACAGGCUGGUGCCUAAGCUGCUUAGGUCCGAGUAAAGGAAGUCACCGAAGUUGUUCAGGUUCGAGUAAAAUGGGUCACCGAGCAUGUCAAAUGCCAAUAUGAGA